AUAGCUAACGGCUGAACCAGCAACUUGGAGGAAUGUAUAGCAAUAGCUACUUGCAUCAUCAUUUUCUCAUUUUCUUCUUCUUUUUCUCAUUAUCAGAGAAAAAUCAGAAGAAAAGUAGAGAAAAGUAAAGAUGAUGCAAGAUCGACUAUGUCGAAUAAAAUUCUAGGUAGAAUUAUGAUAAUGACAUUGUCUGCCUAUGUGUCUUGACCAAAUUACGUGCCAGCAGUCGCGGUAAUACGUAGAAGACUAGUGUUAUUCAUGUUUAAUCGGUUUAAAGGGUACCUAGACGGUAAAUCAAGCUUUCAAAGAAAAAAAUAAAGAGAAUUAAAGGACUAAUUUACUAGAGUUACUUAUGAGGGGGUAUUAAAGUACUGCUGGUGUAGAGAUGAAAUUCUGUCAUACCUCUUUUCAAAAGAAAAAUGAUGGCACAGGUAUAGGCGAAGGCAUCCCCUUAUGUGAUAACUGACGUUGAGGGACGAAGGCUUUGUGUAGCGAACAGGAUUAGAUACCCCAGUAGUCGAAGCAGAAAAUGAUGAAUGUCAUAGAUUAGAUAUAUAAGUUUAUUCUAUAAAUGAAAGUGUAAGCAUUCCACCUCAUGAGUAAUUUGGCAACAUUGGAACUGAAAUCAUUAGACCGUUUCUGAAACCAGUAGUGAAGUAUGUUGUUUAAUUUGAUGAUCCGCAAAAAACCUUACCACAAUUUGAAUAUUUAUAUUUUUUAUUGUUUUCUUAUUAAUUUCUUUUACUUUUCUUCUGAAGAAGAAAAUGAGAAAAUUAAUAAAGAGGCAAUAAGAUAUAUUUACAAGCGUUGCACGGCUGUCUUCAGUUAAUGUCGCGAGACUUUGGUUAGUUCCAUUAAAUUAACGUAAACCCUUACUUUAUUUUUAUAUAGAGUAGUUCCCCGCUAUAUUGGAUAUGAUAACAGGGACUAAGACAAGUCAUCAUGGCCUAAAUAUUG
rnacentral:rRNA from 1 species